rnacentral:lncRNA from 1 species
CUCCUCCUCUAUCAAUGUAACAUAGCCAAGUUUUCUAAACCAAACAUCACGCUUAUCCUCUCGGGAAUGAAUGGCCUUUGGGGGCAUUUCUUUAAAGGUGCACCAUCACCCAGACAGACUGGUACUGCUUGAUUGUGACCCAUUUCCUGAAUACGGCCCUGCUCACUUGCUCUUUCCCAAGGAGAUCUGGCAAUCUGCUGGACUCCUAAACUACCUAAUACCUUUGCCAUGAACACUCUUUUCUCACAAGCACAGGACACCAGACUCGCCAUUGCAGACAGCCCAACUCUACGGCUCCCUGAAACCUUUCAGGCCUGGACCCCUCCCAUCUGAAUGGAAACAUCUUUGAACCAUGAUGCUAAUCCAGAGUCCACAGUGAGAUCUCAAGCAAACUACCCGAGGCUUGGCUUUCCUAAUCAGCUGACCACGCUCAUCUCUGCACUGGACUCAAGUAGAGAGGAGUGAGAGGCUCCUGGGAAAUCGUGAGGAGAUGUGAGAAUUCUCCCUGAAGCUGGUAGACUUUGGAAAGAAACAGAGCAGUGCUGAUGUGAGAAGGAGAUGGAUGACAGUUGGAGAGAGCUUUCUAAAGAUGGCAGGUCACAAACAGCUUCCCUCAGAACAGAACCGGGACUCUGGCUGGUCUUAAGGAGCCUUGGGCAAAAUUCAAUAUGGCUGUCCUAAGCCCAAUAAGCCAAGUCCUUGGGAGAAUUGGAAUGAUGCUAUUUGAGGUGACAAGGCAGCCUUAUCUCUUAUAAUGCAACCAUGUAUUUGAUAAUUGUCCAGACUUGAUCUGGUAGACUGUGUUGUUUUCUGCUGAGAUAGCAUACAGUACAAAAUGAAGAAAUCUCCCGGGGUAGACCUUUCAAAACCCUCUUUUAGAUUUAUUUCCAUUAUGAGUUUAACUGCUUUGCAUGUGUGUG